rnacentral:lncRNA from 1 species
GCGAUCAAGAUCUUGGUGUUUAUCUUAGAAAUAAGAAACUUUGUUUUAUUUAUUUAUUUAUUUGUUCUUCUCUUCUUUUAUGACUCGCAACAACCGGCUUCGAAAUGUAAUUCAAGUUAGUUGGUUAGAUAAAUUAUCUUGCAGAACAGACAAAUAACUAAUUAACUAAGCUCAACAGUUUGUUCCUUAUGUGGGCAUUAUGUUAAGAUGGUUGUUCA